ACGGCAUCAACGCCGUGGCCGAGACGGGCGACUCCGCCGAGGCCUUCGCCGAGGACAUCCUCGCGGCCGCCGGCGCCGGUGACGGCCCGGGGGCCGACCCCGAGCUCGUGCGCGCCUUGGCCGGCGGCUCGCCGGAGGCCUUGGCUUGGUUG
rnacentral:SRP_RNA from 1 species